AUUUUUUAAAGCAAUUGAUUUAUAUUGUAAAAAACCUUUUUAACCAUUCUGUUCCGUUAAUAAAAAAAAAAAAAAAAAAAAAAUCUCCCCGAGACCCCCUUUUGCCCCCCCCCUUUUUUUUUUUAACCCUCCACUUACAACUGAAUGUAGGUUGUGUGCUAUCUAUCCUAUCAACGUAAAACGAACGACAACUCCAGUUUUUUUCCAUAUUAUUAGGUCUUUCCACUUUUCUGUGGAAAGCCUAUUGUAUUUGUUCUGAUUAUUAUUAUUAUUAUUUUUUUUUUUUUUUUUUUCUUCCGCCAAAUUUUGUUCUUGCGAUAAAUGUUUGUUUCGCAAUAUGUCGCUUAGAUUUUUUUCAUAUUGUAUCGUAUAGUUUAUGCGCUUUUAAAUUUCACCCUGCUAAGCCGAACCAUUUUCUUUGUAAGAGUUAUCUCCCUAUUCACUGUUUGUCAUGUGUGUGCAUCUCCUUCGUAACAAAAUAAGAAAGCGACAAAAUUCUUUUUACAAAUUGUUCGUUACAUCAUCCUCAGGAAUUUUUGGCUAAUUUGGAUCGAAGCGAUUCGAUGAAAUUUUAUAGGAGUUAUGUACCUUUACGGAAUAAAUUUGUCG
rnacentral:lncRNA from 1 species